rnacentral:lncRNA from 10 species
GCCAUGGAAGCUGCUGGUGAGUCAGAAUUGAGAAGGCAGUGCACAUUUAAGGACAGAGGAAGGCCAGGGAGCUGUGCCAGGAAAUUUCCACAGCUGUGAGUCAGGAACGGCUCUCAUCAACUUUCUGAAGUAGCAUCCCACCUGAACUAGCCAGCCCUCCUUCCUAGGCAGUCUGCUUUUUAACAAUUCUUGAAAAGCCAAAGACUUUGUGUGGCUUGGUGAAUGGGACAAGAAAGAUGCUACGAGCCCCAAGAAGUAGGUAUUAGUAUCCCCAUUUUACAGAUAGAAAACCGAGGCUCAGAGAGGUGAGGCCAUUUGCCCAGUGUCACACAGCUUGAGACGUGAAUUUGGAUCUAUUUAUCUGCAAAGCCUGGGUUAUCCUGCUUAACCGUACUGCAGUCCACUAAUGCUGGGCCAGUUAAUAACAUGAGAAUGCACCCAUGUUUUGCUAAGGUGGGCUAAUGAGGACCAUUGGGAAGUAGUUCUUUAAGACCAGGCUAUUGGGGGGCAUAUACUCAAGUUCUUCAGCUUAAUUAUAGGUUCCUAUGGAAUCACCAACAGGCCAGCUGUAAGCACUUACAAUAUGCUGAUAGGAGGAGGGCUUAUAGUUACCUCUGACAUUUAUUGAGAGUUUAUUAUGAGCCAGCCUCUGUCCCAAGCACCUGUGUCAUAGCCUAUUUAAGCCUCACAAUAACCCUAAGGGGUCAGAAGCUAUUAUUAGCACCAUUUUGCAGAUGAAGAAAUAGAGACAUGGAGAGGUGAAUACUUGCCCAAGACAACAUAGCUCGAAAUGGCAGAGCUGGGAUUUGAAUCCAGGUGAUUGGUAUGGGUGUGGAGAGUAUGUUCCGAUUCGACUGCUGGGGGGGCCU